CUUAUCGAGAGCGGCUGAGGGAAUAGGCCCGUUGAUGCCCGACAACCUGUAUCCACCGGAAGGUGGGUGCAAGGUGCCAAAUCCUACAGGACAUGACAGAGAGCCAUGUGCCUGAAAGAUAAGG
rnacentral:ncRNA from 1 species